ensembl:misc_RNA 7SK 7SK RNA
AGAUGUUAGGGUGAUCUGGCUGCAACAUCUGUCACCUCCUUGAUCGCCAGGGUUGAUUUGGCUGAUCUGGCUGGGUAGGAGGGUGUCACCUUCCUCCCUUUCUGCUCCAUGUAUGUCCCUCUGGAAGCUGAGGGUAGGUCAGAGAGGACGACCACCCUGCUAGAGGAGGACUGGUCUCGGUCAAUGGUACACCGGUAGCUGUGAUCCCCUGUUCAAACCUCCACACAAGCUCCCAAAUACAGGAACGACCAAGGCUGGCAUGGUAGUACACAGGCUAAUCCUCUGCCCUGUGGCACUGGUAUCCAUGAACACUGGUUCAUACCUCAGAU